UACGGGGGGGGCAAGCGUUGUUCGGAAUUAUUGGGCGUAAAGGGCGCGUAGGCGGCUUGGCAAGUGGAUGGUGAAAUCCCUCGGCUUAACCGAGGAACUGCCGUCCAAACUGCUUCGCUUGAGACCGGGAGAGGUGAGUGGAAUUCCCAGUGUAGCGGUGAAAUGCGUAGAUAUUGGGAGGAACACCAGUGGCGAAGGCGGCUCACUGGACCGGUACUGACGCUGAGGAACGAAAGCUAGGGGAGCAAACAGG
rnacentral:rRNA from 1 species